UUAAAGCCUUAGCACCAUUUGAUUAUAUUUUCCGCUCUCCAAGAAGGCUCUCAGUAUCAGUUGUAAGCCUUUUGUCCAGGGAAUUAAGUGGUGGUAAAUGGUGGUAAAACUUAUGAAGUCCAAUGACUUUUAUAGCCCUUUCCCCUCUCUCUCCCCCACCUGCUCCACCAUCUGGCUGUUAAGACAAGCAGCCCCAGAUGGUUGCUCUGGGCCCCCCAACUCCUUUGGCCAAAGGGUGCUGAUUCCCAGGGGGUUAAUCUCACGCGGUUCUCCCUGGCGUUCCCUCCAGGUAGGCUCCACCACUCUCGGAGGCUUUCUGUUGUAGACCGAGAUGCUGCAAUCCCAGCGUCUUCUUCCUUUGGGCUCUCUAUUAAAGGUGGAGCCUGCCAGGGAGACUCAGCUGCUGAUGCUCUCUCCCAUUUCUUGCCACUUGGACCCUGAUCUACACAUCUCCUCCUUGACCCCUGCUGCACUGAAACACCAAUAGGACAGACAGAACUUGGUAACACAAAGUUUUAAUUGCUGUAAUCAGAAGCAUUAGCAAAUUGUUCCAAACAACUCAAGCAAACAAGCAAGCUAAGCUACAUGCUAAAAGAAGGCAACUGGACUCCACCACACAACCAGAAUUCCAGCCAAUUUUACCCAAAGAAAAAUGCACUCUGGAUCCCAAUGAUGAUGAUCACCCAACCUCUUAGGUGGGCUUUGGAGAAAGCUAUCUCCAUGCACAUGUCUUAAAGGUCCAUAGUUCAAGAUAGAAAGUCAGCAAGUUUCUGACUGAACUG